AUUGAACGCUGGCGGCAGGCCUAACACAUGCAAGUCGAGCGGAGCGGCGGACGGGUGAGUAAUGCCUAGGAAUCUGCCUGGUAGUGGGGGAUAACGUCCGGCAACGGGCGCUAAUACCGCAUACUAUCAGAUGAGCCUAGGUCGGAUUAGCUAGUUGGUGGGGUAAAUGCCUACCAAGGCGACGGGCCGUAACUGGUCUGAGAGGAUGACCAGCCACACUGGAAAGUGGACACUGUCCGUACUCCUAUGGGAGGCAGGAUUGGGGAAUAUUGCACAAUGGGCGGAAGCCUGAUGCAGCCAUGCCUCGUGUAUGAAGAAGGCCUUCGGGUUGUAAAGUACUUUCAGCUGGGAGGCGUUACCCGCAGAAGAAGCACCGGCUAACUCCGUGCCAGCAGCCGCGGUAAUAC
rnacentral:rRNA from 1 species